GUGCCAGCAGCCGCGGUAAUACGGAGGGUGCAAGCGUUAUUCGGAAUUACUGGGCGUAAAGCGCACGUAGGCGGCUUCGUAAGUCAGGGGUGAAAUCCCACGGCUCAACCGUGGAACUGCCUUUGAAACUGCAAAGCUUGAAUCCUGGAGAGGGUGGCGGAAUUCCUGGUGUAGGAGUGAAAUCCGUAGAUAUCAGGAGGAACACCGGUGGCGAAGGCGGCCACCUGGACAGGCAUUGACGCUGAGGUGCGAAAGUGUGGGGAGCAAACAGGAUUAGAUACCCUGGUAGUCCACACCGUAAACGAUGGAUACUAGGUGUCGGGGACUUGAUCUUCGGUGCCGUAGCUAACGCGUUAAGUAUCCCGCCUGGGGAGUACGGUCGCAAGGCUGAAACUCAAAUAAAUUGACGGG
rnacentral:rRNA from 1 species